rnacentral:tRNA from 1 species
GGAGGGUAGCGCCCGAAGGCGGGCAACCGGUCCCGAAAACCGGGCCGUCGUAACAGACGGGGGUUCGAUUCCUCUACCUUCCGCCA